GUGAUACAGUAGUUUCUAAUCAGGUAAACUUUGGUUCACUUGUUUUGUUUUUCAAAAGAUAAUGUUGCACUGCUAAUUUCUUCUGCAGCAUCAGUAAUUACAUUUUGACAUUGUGAUCGGUCAUGUUUAAACAAUAAAGAGUGCAGCUCUUAGUGUUAAGUACUCAUAAGUAGUCAUUCAUUCAUUGUUUAAACCCUUUUCUUUGCUGAUUGUUUCUGCCCUUAAAAUUACAGAACUUUCAAGUAUAAUAGUUGUUCAAAGCUUGAAACAACAUGCAGUAGUUUUUCCUGUUCAUGAAAUGUGGAAUUGCUCAAAGCUUUACUAGCUGUAAUAUUUGGUGAACUCCAAAGGCAGUUUGAUUGUUCGAUGCAUUUAACUUAAUUUCACACAAAAU
rnacentral:misc_RNA from 1 species